UGGGUAUUAGCUCAGUUGGUUAGAGCGACCCCUGAUAAGGGAUGAAGGGCCCUGGUUCAAAUCCAGGAUGGCCCUCCA
rnacentral:tRNA from 1 species